CCUACGGGUGGCUGCAGUGGGGAAUAUUGGACAAUGGGCGAAAGCCUGAUCCAGCCAUGCCGCGUGUGUGAAGAAGGCCUUCGGGUUGUAAGGCACUUUCAGUGGGGAAGAAAGCCUUGGGGCUAAUACCCUCGAGGAAGGACAUCACCCACAGAAGAAGCACCGGCUAACUCCGUGCCAGCAGCCGCGGUAAUACGGAGGGUGCGAGCGUUAAUCGGAAUUACUGGGCGUAAAGCGCGCGUAGGCGGUCUGAUAAGCCGGUUGUGAAAGCCCCGGGCUCAACCUGGGAAUGGCAUCCGGAACUGUCAGGCUAGAGUGCAGGAGAGGAAGGUAGAAUUCCCGGUGUAGCGGUGAAAUGCGUAGAGAUCGGGAGGAAUACCAGUGGCGAAGGCGGCCUUCUGGACUGACACUGACGCUGAGGUGCGAAAGCGUGGGUAGCAAACAGGAUUAGAUACCCGAGUAGUC
rnacentral:rRNA from 1 species